rnacentral:rRNA from 1 species
GAUGAACGCUGGCGGCGUGCCUAAUACAUGCAAGUCGAGCGAACGGACGAGAAGCUUGCUUCUCUGAUGUUAGCGGCGGACGGGUGAGUAACACGUGGAUAACCUACCUAUAAGACUGGGAUAACUUCGGGAAACCGUAGCUAAUACCGGAUAAUAUUUUGAACCGCAUGGUUCAAAAGUGAAAGACGGUCUUGCUGUCACUUAUAGAUGGAUCCGCGCUGCAUUAGCUAGUUGGUAAGGUAACGGCUUACCAAGGCAACGAUGCAUAGCCGACCUGAGAGGGUGUCGGGCCACACGGAAACGGGAAAACGGUCAGGACCCCAAGGGAAGGAGGAAGAGGGAAACUUCCCGAAAGGGCGAAAGCCUGACGGAGCAACGCCGCGUGAGUGAUGAAGGUCUUCGGAUCGUAAAACUCUGUUAUUAGGGAAGAACAUAUGUGUAAGUAACUGUGCACAUCUUGACGGUACCUAAUCAGAAAGCCACGGCUAACUACGU